rnacentral:rRNA from 1 species
GAGUGCGAUCCUGGCUCAGGAUGAACGCUGGCGGUGUGCCUAAUACAUGCAAGUCGAACGAGCUUCCGUUAAUUGAUUAUGACGUGCUUGCACUGAAUGAGAUUUUAACACGAAGUGACUGGCGGACGGGUGAGUAACUCGUGGGUAACCUGCUCAGAAGCAGGGGAUAACACCUGGAAACAGAUGCUAAUACCGUAUAACAGAGAACACCGCCUGGUUGUCUUUUAAAAGAUGGCUCUGCUAUCACUUCUGGAUGGACCCGCGGCGCAUUAGCUAGUUGGUGAGGUAACGGCUCACCAAGGCGAUGAUGCGUAGCCGACCUGAGAGGGUAAUCGGCCACAUUGGGACUGAGACACGGCCCAGACUCCUACGGGAGGCAGCAGUAGGGAAUCUUCCGCAAUGGACGCAAGUCUGAUGGAGCAACGCCGCGUGAGUGAAGAAGGGUUUCGGCUCGUAAAGCUCUGUUGUUAAGGAAGACCUACUCUGAGAGCAUAAGUACGUCAGUGUCGGAAGAGAGACCAAUA